rnacentral:rRNA from 1 species
AUUGAACGCUGGCGGCAGGCCUAACACAUGCAAGUCGAGCGAGCGGCGGACGGGUGAGUAAUGUCUGGGAAACUGCCUGUUGGAGGGGGAUAACUACUGGAAACGGUAGCUAAUACCGCAUACCAUCAGAUGUGCCCAGAUGGGAUUAGCUAGUAGGUGGGGUAACGGGUCACCUCGGCGACGAUCCCUAGCUGGUCUGAGAGGAGGACCAGCCACACGGGAACAGAGACACGGUCCAGACUCCUACGGGAGUCAGCAGGGGGGAGUAUUGGACAAUGGGCGCAAGCCUGAUGCAGCCAUGCCGCGUGGGUGAAGAAGGCGUUCGGGUUUUAGAGCACUUUCAGCGGGGAGGCGUUACCCGCAGAAGAAGCGCCGGCUAACUCCGUGCCAGCAGCCGCGGUAAUAC